rnacentral:rRNA from 1 species
GAAGGUAGCGUAAUCACUUGUUCUUUAAAUGAGGACUAGUAUGAAUGGCACCACGAGGGUUCAACUGUCUCCUUUUUUUGAUCAGUGAAACUAAUCUCCCCGUGAAAAAGCGGGAAUUUACUUAUAAGACGAGAAGACCCUAUGGAGCUUUAAACAAAUUAACAUACGCUAUUACUUUAUUAUCUUAAGAGUUACAACAAAUAAUAUAGCAAUCUGAUUAAAAGUUUUCGAUUGGGGUGAUCACGGAGUAAAAAACAACCUCCACGUCGAACGGAUUAAAAUCCUGAACAAAAAGCUACAGCUUUAUGCACUAAUACAUUAACGCCUUUGACCCAUUUUUUGAUCAACGAACCAAGUUACCCUAGGGAUAACAGCGCAAUCUGCUUCGAGAGCCCCUAUCGACAAGCGGGUUUACGACCUCGAUGUUGGAUCAGGGUAUCC